GACGAACGCUGUCGGCGUGCUUAACACAUGCAAGUCGAACGCUGAAGCUCAGCUUUUGUUGGGUGGAUGAGUGGCGAACGGGUGAGUAACACGUGAGUAACCUGCCUCCUUCUUUGGGAUAACGCCCGGAAACGGGUGCUAAUACUGGAUAUUCACUGGUCUUCGCAUGGGGGUUGGUGGAAAGGGUUUUUCUGGUGGGGGAUGGGCUCGCGGCCUAUCAGCUUGUUGGUGGGGUGAUGGCCUACCAAGGCUUUGACGGGUAGCCGGCCUGAGAGGGUGACCGGUCACAUUGGGACUGAGAUACGGCCCAGACUCCUACGGGAGGCAGCAGUGGGGAAUAUUGCACAAUGGGCGCAAGCCUGAUGCAGCGACGCCGCGUGAGGGAUGGAGGCCUUCGGGUUGUGAACCUCUUUCGCUCAUGGUCAAGCCGCAACAAUGGUUGUGGUGAGGGUAGUGGGUAAAGAAGCGCCGGCUAACUACGUG
rnacentral:rRNA from 1 species